rnacentral:rRNA from 1 species
UUGAACGCUGGCGGCAGGCCUAACACAUGCAAGUCGAGCGGAUGAAGGGAGCUUGCUCCUGGAUUCAGCGGCGGACGGGUGAGUAAUGCCUAGGAAUCUGCCUGGUAGUGGGGGAUAACGUCCGGAAACGGGCGCUAAUACCGCAUACGUCCUGAGGGAGAAAGUGGGGGAUCUUCGGACCUCACGCUAUCAGAUGAGCCUAGGUCGGAUUAGCUAGUUGGUGGGGUAAAGGCCUACGAAGGCGACGAUCCGUAACUGGUCUGAGAGGAUGAUCAGUCACACUGGAACUGAGACACGGUCCAGACUCCUACGGGAGGCAGCAGUGGGGAAUAUUGGACAAUGGGCGAAAGCCUGAUCCAGCCAUGCCGCGUGUGUGAAGAAGGUCUUCGGAUUGUAAAGCACUUUAAGUUGGGAGGAAGGGCAGUAAGUUAAUACCUUGCUGUUUUGACGUUACCAACAGAAUAAGCACCGGCUAACUUCGUG